CGGCCCGUGGCUCAGUUGGUAGAGCACUCGUCUGAUACACGAGGGAUCGGAGGUUCGAUUCCUCCCGGGCCGA
rnacentral:tRNA from 1 species